GUUUCUAAUCACGCGGUACAAGCCGCCUUUUUAAUUCUUGGUCCUAUCUGGUCAUUUUAACGCAACAACCGACUCACCACGUUCUCUAUAUAAAUAAACCCCGAGCCUCCCGUUUCUAUUGUGGUCGCAUAUUCAGUACUUGCUCUCUAAGUUUGCUCUCUUUUCUGAUCUUUCCCUGGUAAUUUUCUGAUCAUUUAUGUUUAGACUCUCUGAUUUGCUGUGUUCAUGUGGUUGCAAAAUUGAUGGAUAUCUUCUUCCAUCGAUGGCCUAAUUAUUUGCGUUUUCUUUGAAACUUUUCUGUUAUUUUUGCAAUCUCUGUUAUUGUUUUGAUGAUUGGAUGCCAAGUUAAUUUUGUUUUUUUCCCCUAGUAAUCCUUUCAGUUCUCGUCAAGUAAAGUACAUGGUUGAUCUAGAGGUUCAGAUUCCUACUGCUUUUGAUCCA
rnacentral:misc_RNA from 1 species